AGAGAACAGAGAAGGGAAGUUCACGUGAUGUAUUCUUAGAAUGUACUCUACGUUAGAGAAGCUGCUCUGAAAAUGUGCUCCUGGCCCUACAUGAAUUGUGACCUGGAGAAGAGGAAGCUUGAGCCCAUCAGGGCAUGGAUAUUUCGCUCUCUUUCUCCACCAUGGAACAGCUUAAAUGAUUUCCCUUGAUAUCAAACAUAGAUUAGUCAGAUGUGAGAACAAAGAAGAGACCUUCUGGCUAACUGCAAGUAGCCCAUGUCCUGGUGUCGAGUGUUUAUCUGGACCAUUCAAAGUGUGUCAAGAGCUUUGCUGUGCUGCACCACUUCCAUCAUG